GUGCUUGCUUUAGCAGCACACAUACUAAAAACUGGACCGAUACAGAGAAGAUUAGCAUGGUCUCUGCACAAGGAUGACACGCAAAUUCGUGAAGCAUUCCAUACAAAA
ensembl:snRNA U6 U6 spliceosomal RNA